rnacentral:rRNA from 1 species
GGACUACCCGGGUAUCUAAUCCCGUUUGCUCCCCUGGCCUUCGAGCCUCAGUGUCAGGAAAUUUCCAGAGGCCUGCUUUCGCCGUUGGUCUUCCUCACGAUAUCUACGCAUUUCACUGCUACACCGUGAAUUCCGGCCUCCUCUCAAUUCCUCUAGCCAGGCAGUAUCAAAUGCGAUUCGACGUUGAGCAUCGAAAUUUGACAUCUGACUUACCCGACCACCUACGCUCCCUUUACGCCCAAUGAAUCCGAACAACGCUUGGGACCUCUGUAUUACCGCGGCUGCUGGCAC